rnacentral:rRNA from 1 species
GACGAACGCUGGCGGCGUGCUUAACACAUGCAAGUCGAACGGAAAGGCCCUGCUUUUGUGGGGUGCUCGAGUGGCGAACGGGUGAGUAACACGUGAGUAACCUGCCCUUGACUUUGGGAUAACUUCAGGAAACUGGGGCUAAUACCGGAUAGGAGCUCCUGCUGCAUGGUGGGGGUUGGAAAGUUUCGGCGGUUGGGGAUGGACUCGCGGCUUAUCAGCUUGUUGGUGGGGUAGUGGCUUACCAAGGCUUUGACGGGUAGCCGGUCUGAGAGGGUGACCGGCCACAUUGGGACUGAGAUACGGCCCAGACUCCUACGGGAGGCAGCAAUGGGGAAUAUUGCACAAUGGGCGGAAGCCUGAUGCAGCAACGCCGCGUGCGGGAUGACGGCCUUCGGGUUGUAAACCGCUUUCGCCUGUGACGAAGCGUGAGUGACGGUAAUGGGUAAAGAAGCACCGGCUAACUACGUG